UCCCUGGCUUCUUGGUGAUGGUACUUGGGAAUGGUGGCAGAUCUUCAUCCCCAUCCUCCUCCUCAUCGCUGCCCCGAUGGUUUACUGCAUCUGGAGGAAAUGGUGCAAAACUUCUGAAUUGCUGACAAUGGCAAAGUUGUCCACCUGGUGUGAUCUGAUGCUGUCAUCAAAUCAAGUCCAGAGUGAAGAAGAAGAAGAAGAAGAAGAAGAAGAAGAAGAAGAAGAAGAAGAAGAAGAAGAAGAAGAAGAAGCCGUCCACCUGAAUAUACCUGCUGCUGCUGCUGCUGCUGCUGAGAAACCUGAAACUGAAGCUGCCAUUUAGAAGUUGUAAAGAAUGCGUGUAUUUUUCCUAAUGCAGUCCGCCAUCUCCACCUCUACACAGGAGUGCACAUCUUUUUAAGUGUUCUUUACUGCCAGUGGUGGCCUUAGACCUUUGCACUGUACUGUAUUUCAUGAGUAGCUCCUCUCUCCUCUGCAGUGGGACGAGCUGAGAUGCAGAGAUAAGACAUGAAGAGUCACGUUAGCCAAAUCAAAAGAACCCUUUUUAAUAGCAAAAUGCAACAGCAGACAGGUGAUCAUUGGAGAGGAAGACAGUAACAUUUACCACAAUCUACCACCUCGGCUCUAGUGAACUAGCACUAACAGGUAAACA